GAUGAACGCUGGCGGCGUGCCUAAUACAUGCAAGUCGAGCGAACGGACGAGAAGCUUGCUUCUCUGAUGUUAGCGGCGGACGGGUGAGUAACACGUGGAUAACCUACCUAUAAGACUGGGAUAACUUCGGGAAACCGGAGCUAAUACCGGAUAAUAUUUUGAACCGCAUGGUUCAAAAGUGAAAGACGGUCUUGCUGUCACUUAUAGAUGGAUCCGCGCUGCAUUAGCUAGUUGGUAAGGUAACGGCUUACCAAGGCAACGAUGCAUAGCCGACCUGAGAGGGUGAUCGGCCACACUGGAAAUGAGACACGGUCCAGACUCCUACGGGAGGAAGCAGUAGGGAAUCUUCCGCAAUGGGCGAAAGCCUGACGGAGCAACGCCGCGUGAGUGAUGAAGGUCUUCGGAUCGUAAAACUCUGUUAUUAGGGAAGAACAUAUGUGUAAGUAACUGUGCACAUCUUGACGGUACCUAAUCAGAAAGCCACGGCUAACUACGUG
rnacentral:rRNA from 1 species